rnacentral:lncRNA from 1 species
UGUGGGCCAGAGGUCCAUAGACGACUUGUCAGUCGAUAGGUAUUUAUUCUACUGUUCGAGGAAAACAAAUAAGGGUGCAGCUUAGACGAAAAGAAACGUUUUAUUGCCAGUGUCUAAACCCCUAAACAACGGAAUUGUGUACGGAUACACGUGUACUUAAAACAGCCUGGUGUG